AAACCAUGGUGUGGGCAUUGAGCUUGGUAGCCUUUAAAUCUCUCACAGGCUUCACUGAAGCCUUCCAAGUUCUUCUGUUGAAAGCUGGAAAUCUCAUUUCUCAGCUU
rnacentral:snoRNA from 1 species